GAUGAAGAACGUAGCGAAAUGCGAUAAGUAAUGUGAAUUGCAGAAUUCAGUGAAUCAUCGAAUCUUUGAACGCACCUUGCGCUCCUUGGCAUUCCGAGGAGCAUGACUGUUUGAGUGUCAUUAAAUUCUCAAGACCUGUCUGCUUUUUUGAUAGGUAUUGGAUUUUGGGGGUUGCAGGCUGUUUCAAAUAAAUAGCCUUGCUCUCCUUGAAUGUAUUAGUGGAGAAAAGCCAUUGAACUCCAUUGGUGUGAUAAAACCUAUCAAUGCCAGGAGCAAUAUCACUACUUCUCUCUGCUGUCUAACUGUGACUGUCUGUAUUAAUUAGUAUGGAUGGGGACAACUUGACCAACUUGACCUCAAAUCAGGUAGGACUACCCGCUGAACUUAAGCAUAUCAAUAAGCGGAGGA
rnacentral:misc_RNA from 1 species